CUGGUCGUAGUUCAGUUGGUAGAGCGCCUGGUUUGGGACCAGGAGGCCGCCGGUUCGAGUCCGGCCGACCAGACCA
rnacentral:tRNA from 2 species